AGAGUAAAAAGGAGAAACAAAGAAACCCCCAAAGGAAAGAAAUGGAGGGAUCGCCAGAAAAGCAGCUAUAUGAAACAGAGGCAUGCAAUAUGAGGGAAAAAGAAUUCAAAGUAAGGGUCAUACAG